GGCCAUGAGCAAUUCAGCUGCCAUGCGGAGCAAUGGCUGGAAAACCACCGCCCGCUGCCCGUUUCUAAAGUCUGCAACCCCUGAUGUGGAAAACAGACUGAAGGCUGGCCAGAGUGGGAGGCAGGAGGUGCGUCAGAAGGCUACUGCAGUAACUCAGGUGAAGGACGCUGACGGCUCGGACCAGUGGCAGAGAACCAAGCACUUCUGAAAAGCUUUUGUGGCGUGACUGACAGAGAUUCAAGUUGCAGCAUUUGUGAGAGGACAAGUUUACUGGGAGAGAACUCCAGUUUACAGGACUUGCAUACAGUGCAUCUCAUUUCAGUCCUGCAACGGCUCCAUGAGUCAUGCAGGAAAGCGACUAUCUACAUUUUACAAAUAAACCAAUCUGGGCCUUGUUUUAAGUGCUGAAGGGUUUAAUAUGCCUCUCCAUACCACUGCAUGGGAAUGUAAUCAAUGUAAGAGCCAGAUCUGGUCUUAGUACAUAAUUAUGGCCCGGUUCAAAUAAAGUUAACCUCUAUUCUACUUUCAUCACUUUGAGUGAGUUUAAUGCUCUUUUAACGUUCUUUGCUUUUCAUAUCAUCCUUAAGAUACCUGCUUAACUAUUUAUAAAUUGCCAUAUCUAGACACCUUUAUAAUACUUAUUUUAUGGGUUUUCUGAUCAGAUUUUGGACUCCUACAGGGCAUGAACCAGGCUUUACUAAUCUGUGCCAAACACAAGUGCUCAACUAUGUGCUGAGUAAAUCAAUUAAUGACUAAGGGGGGAGGUUGGGAAUAAUGUAAACAACUUUAAUACAUUUAAAAUAGAAGUUGAGUUUUACCAUCUAUGCUAAAGGUUGACAGAGUAUUAUUAGGUCAUAAGAAAUUAAUUUGAAGUUCAACAGCUUUCUACUUGCAAGGGAUGACAAAAAUAACAUACACCACAAACACACAAACACACACACACACA